UGCUCUCGGGUGACGAGCGGCGGACGGGUGAGUAAUGUCUGGGAAACUGCCUGAUGGAGGGGGAUAACUACUGGAAACGGUAGCUAAUACCGCAUAACGUCGCAAGACCAAAGUGGGGGACCUUCGGGCCUCAUGCCAUCAGAUGUGCCCAGAUGGGAUUAGCUAGUAGGUGGGGUAAUGGCUCACCUAGGCGACGAUCCCUAGCUGGUCUGAGAGGAUGACCAGCCACACUGGAACUGAGACACGGUCCAGACUCCUACGGGAGGCAGCAGUGGGGAAUAUUGCACAAUGGGCGCAAGCCUGAUGCAGCCAUGCCGCGUGUAUGAAGAAGGCCUUCGGGUUGUAAAGUACUUUCAGCGAGGAGGAAGGCGUUAAGGUUAAUAACCUUAGUGAUUGACGUUACUCGCAGAAGAAGCACCGGCUAACUCCGUGCCAGCAGCCGCGGUAAUACGGAGGGUGCAAGCGUUAAUCGGAAUUACUGGGCGUAAAGCGCACGCAGGCGGUUUGUUAAGUCAGAUGUG
rnacentral:rRNA from 1 species